GACGAACGCUGGCGGCGUGCUUAACACAUGCAAGUCGAACGGAAAGGCCCUGCUUUUGUGGGGUGCUCGAGUGGCGAACGGGUGAGUAACACGUGAGUAACCUGCCCUUGACUUUGGGAUAACUUCAGGGAACUGGGGCUAAUACCGGAUAGGAGCUCCUGCUGCAUGGUGGGGGUUGGAAAGUUUCGGCGGUUGGGGAUGGACUCGCGGCUUAUCAGCUUGUUGGUGGGGUAGUGGCUUACCAAGGCUUUGACGGGUAGCCGGCCUGAGAGGGUGACCGGCAACAUUGGGACUGAGAUACGGCCCAGACUCCUACGGGAGGCAGCAGUGGGGAAUAUUGCACAAUGGGAGGAAGCCUGAUGCAGCAACGCCGCGUGCGGGAUGACGGCCUUCGGGUUGUAAACCGCUUUCGCCUGUGACGAAGCGUGAGUGACGGUAAUGGGUAAAGAAGCACCGGCUAACUACGUG
rnacentral:rRNA from 1 species